rnacentral:rRNA from 1 species
CAGCCGCCGCGGUAAUACGGAGGGGGCUAGCGUUGUUCGGAAUUACUGGGCGUAAAGCGCACGUAGGCGGCUUUGUAAGUUAGAGGUGAAAGCCUGGAGCUCAACUCCAGAAUUGCCUUUAAGACUGCAUCGCUUGAAUCGCGGAGAGGUGAGUGGAAUUCCGAGUGUAGAGGUGAAAUUCGUAGAUAUUGGGAAGAACACCAGUGGCGAAGGCGGCUCACUGGACCGACACUGACGCUGAGGCGCGAAAGCGUGGGGAGCAAACAGGAUUAGAUACCCGCGUAGUCCCUGUCUCUUAUAC